GCCAGGUGCAGUGGUGUGCGCCUGCAAUCCCAGCCACUCGGGAGGCAGAGGCAGGAGGAUUGUGAGUUUGAGACCAGCCUGGGCAACAGAGUGAGGCCCUGUUUUGA
rnacentral:sRNA from 1 species